CACGUAGGGCGCAAGCGUUGUCCGGAAUUAUUGGGCGUAAAGAGCUCGUAGGCGGUCUGUUGCGUCCGCUGUGAAAACUCGGGGCUUAACCCCGAGCCUGCAGUGGAUACGGGCAGACUAGAGGUAGGUAGGGGAGAAUGGAAUUCCCGGUGUAGCGGUGAAAUGCGCAGAUAUCGGGAGGAACACCUGUGGCGAAAGCGGCGCACUGGACCACAUCUGACGCUGAGGCGCGAAAGCUAGGGGAGCAAACAGG
rnacentral:rRNA from 1 species